rnacentral:rRNA from 1 species
CUGGACUAGAAUGUGAGGGAAGGACGUCUAAUAGCGUCCGUCCGAGCAAUCGGACCCGAAACAAGGUGCUGCAUGGCUGUCGUCAGCUCGUGUCGUGAGAUGUUGGGUUAUGUCCCGCAACGAGCGCAACCCUUAUUGACAGUUGCCAAUAUUAAGUUGGGAACUCUGUCAAGACUGCCGUUGAUAAACGGAGGAAGGUGGGGACGAUGUCAAGUCAUCAUGGCCUUUAUGUUCAGGGCUACACACGUGCUACAAUGGAUGGUACAAAACGUCGCAAUCCCGUAAGGGGGAGCUAAUCGCAAAAACCAUUCUCAGUUCGGAUCGGAGUCUGCAACUCGACUCCGUGAAGUUGGAAUCGCUAGUAAUCGCAAAUCAGCAUGUUGCGGUGAAUACGUUCCC